rnacentral:misc_RNA from 1 species
CUGGUUGAGUUUCGUGUUUCCUUCUCAGCUGAUUGCAUACGGUCUAGUAGAUGCUUGCCUGAGCUAUCAGUUACAUAUUCAAACAAACAUCUAUCAUUUGGAGUAGUUGAUCUUGGGCUAUUUCCAAAUGUUGCUGACAAAUUUGGAAUAUCACUUGGUGGGAGUAUGAACCAGCUUCCUACCUAUAUCUUAUUUGAGAAUGCAGCUGAGAUCGCUCGCCUUCCAGAUUUGGAUUUUGAAAUAAAAGCAUACCCUCCGAUAACCAAGAGACUUCUCUGCAGACAUUUUGACCUUGAUCGCCGUCUACUCGAGUAUGUAUAUGGAAAAUAGCAUCACCAGG